CAAUUCAUUUCCCUUACUUCUCCGAAUACAUCACGGAAAAAACAAGACUACCAAAACUCUCCCUUUUUUUCUUUUUUUUUUGAAACACACCAAAGCUCUCUGUAUUCGAAUCGUGAUAAACCUAAAAUCACAAAGUCACAAGAUCUACACACAGAGCUUGACUCAAAUCAACCUCUCACGAUUCAACCCUCUCUCUCUCUCUCUCUAGGCCGUGAUGAAAGCUUUGUCUACAACGCUUGACUCGAGUCAGAUUCGAGCCACAAUCAGAGAUGGCGAGUGACAAAUAGAGGUGGCGGAGCAGUGCCGGUGGCAAGUCGGAAGACGUCUGUCCUUCAUAAGCAGAGGCGAGAAGACGCUUCAAUGGACAACGACUCAGAUCUACUCCAUAUUCAGAUGGCUCAUCAGCCGCUGCAUCUCCGGCUUUGUCACCGCGUCUCCGUUGUGUCUCCGGCUUCGUCGCUGCGUCUCCGGACUAUCCCUCUCAGGUGGACCUUUGCUGUUAAUGGAGCUUGCGUUUUUGUUUAGAGGAGUUGGUGCUGAAGUUGUUUAGAGCAUAAAUCAGAAACCAGUUGAAGCAGAUGAAGUGGUUAAUGUUUUGGAACACAAGAAGUUGGAUCGAGGAGUUUAGGUGAAACUGAUCCAUGCUUCUAAGACUAUUGCUUACCUUCGGGAGUAGCUGUUUCACAACAUGGAGGAAGUGCUUGGAGGAACAAAACAUGGAGCUGCUGAAGACUAGUGGCAAAGUGAUUUUGCCAGUUUUGAAAGUUAUGUAGUAGGUUGAGUUAUUAGACGUGGUAUGUGUAUUUAAGAUAAGUUAUGCUGUACAAAAUUAUGUAGAAUAUUAUUCAAAUAAAUGAAAUAAAAUAGCAUUACAAAAUACAGGAUCAAUUGAUGUCGUUCUUAGUUUUUUUUU